rnacentral:rRNA from 1 species
CCUACGGGUGGCUGCAGUGGGGAAUAUUGGACAAUGGGGGCAACCCUGAUCCAGCCAUGCCGCGUGUGUGAAGAAGGCCCUCGGGUUGUAAAGCACUUUCAGUGAGGAAGAACGCCUGGUGGUUAAUACCCAUCAGGAAAGACAUCACUCACAGAAGAAGCACCGGCUAACUCCGUGCCAGCAGCCGCGGUAAUACGGAGGGUGCGAGCGUUAAUCGGAAUUACUGGGCGUAAAGCGCGCGUAGGUGGCUUGAUAAGCCGGUUGUGAAAGCCCCGGGCUCAACCUGGGAACGGCAUCCGGAACUGUCAAGCUAGAGUGCAGGAGAGGAAGGUAGAAUUCCCGGUGUAGCGAUGAAAUGCGUAGAGAUCGGGAGGAAUACCAGUGGCGAAGGCGGCCUUCUGGACUGACACUGACACUGAGGUGCGAAAGCGUGGGUAGCAAACAGGAUUAGAUACCCCUGUAGUC